GAUGAAGAACGCAGCGAAAUGCGAUACGUAAUGUGAAUUGCAGAAUUCAGUGAAUCAUCGAGUCUUUGAACGCACAUUGCGCCCCUUGGUAUUCCGGGGGGCAUGCCUGUUCGAGCGUCAUUACAACCCUCAAGCUCUGCUUGGUCUUGGGCGUCACCGGUCCCCGGUGUGCCUUAAAAUCAGUGGCGGCGCCAUCUGGCUCUAAGCGUAGUACAUACUCUCGCUACAGACGUCCGGUGGAUGCUGGCCAGCAACCCCCAAUUUAUCAAGGUUGACCUCGGAUCAGGUAGGGAUACCCGCUGAACUUAAGCAUAUCAAUAAGCGGAGGA
rnacentral:misc_RNA from 1 species